rnacentral:rRNA from 1 species
CCCUUAGACGUUCUGGGCCGCACGCGCGCUACACUGACCAGUGCAACAAGCAUCCGUCCUUGGCCGACAGGCCCGGGCAAUCUUUGAACGCUGUUCGUGAUUGGGAUAGACCUUUGCAAUUAUGGGUCUUCAACGAGGAAUUCCUAGUAAACGCAAGUCAUCAGCUUGCAUUGAUUACGUCCCUGCCCUUUGUACACACCACCCGUCGCACCUACCGAUUGAAUGGUCCGGUGAAAUCUCGGGACGGCGGCUUAGUCGCUUGCGUCCGACUGCUGAAACUUGAUUAAACCAUAUCAUUUAGAGGAAGGUGAANUCGUANCA